rnacentral:rRNA from 3 species
GUAUAAGCAAUUAUACCGCGAAACUGCGAAUGGCUCAUUAAAUCAGUUAUCGUUUAUUUGAUAGUACCUUACUACUUGGAUAACCGUGGUAAUUCUAGAGCUAAUACAUGCUAAAAAUCCCGACUCACGGAGGGAUGUAUUUAUUAGAUUAAAAACCAAUGCCCUUCGGGGCUCCUUGGUGAUUCAUAAUAACUUCUCGAAUCGCAUGGCCUUGUGCCGGCGAUGGUUCAUUCAAAUUUCUGCCCUAUCAACUUUCGAUGGCAGGGUCUUGGCCUGCCAUGGUUACAACGGGUAACGGAGGGUUAGGGCUCGACCCCGGAGAAGGAGCCUGAGAAACGGCUACUACAUCCAAGGAAGGCAGCAGGCGCGCAAAUUACCCAAUCCCGAUACGGGGAGGUAGUGACAAUAAAUACUGAUACAGGGCUCUUUUGGGUCUUGUAAUUGGAAUGAGUACAAUUUAAAUCCCUUAACGAGGAACAAUUNNNNNNNNNNNNNNNNNNNNAAUUCCAGCUCCAAUAGCGUAUAUUAAAGUUGUUGCAGUUAAAAAGCUCGUAGUUGAACCUUGGGCCUGGCUGGCCGGUCCGCCUCACCGCGUGCACUGGUUCGGCCGGGCCUUUCCCUCUGGGGAACCCCAUGCCCUUCACUGGGUGUGGUGGGGAACCAGAACUUUUACUGUGAAAAAAUUAGAGUGUUCAAAGCAGGCCUAUGCUCGAAUACAUUAGCAUGGAAUAAUAGAAUAGGACGUGUGGUUCUAUUUUGUUGGUUUCUAGGACCGCCGUAAUGAUUAAUAGGGACAGUCGGGGGCAUCAGUAUUCAAUUGUCAGAGGUGAAAUUCUUGGAUUUAUUGAAGACUAACUACUGCGAAAGCAUUUGCCAAGGAUGUUUUCAUUAAUCAGGAACGAAAGUUAGGGGAUCGAAGACGAUCAGAUACCGUCGUAGUCUUAACCAUAAACUAUGCCGACUAGGGAUCGGACGAUGUUAUUUUUUGACUCGUUCGGCACCUUACGAGAAAUCAAAGUCUUUGGGUUCUGG